rnacentral:piRNA from 1 species
UGACCGCGAAACCCUAGCAACAGAGCUAAAC